CCUACGGGAGGCAGCAGUGGGGAAUAUUGCACAAUGGGGGAAACCCUGAUGCAGCGACGCCGCGUGGGUGACGAAGUAUUUCGGUAUGUAAAGCCCUAUCAGCAGGGAAGAAGAUGACAGUACCUGACUAAGAAGCCCCGGCUAACUACGUGCCAGCAGUCGCGGUAAUACGUAGGGGGCAAGCGUUAUCCGGAUUUACUGGGUGUAAAGGGAGCGUAGGUGGCAUGGCAAGCCAGAAGUGAAAACCCGUGGCUUAACCCCGCGGAGUGCUUUUGGAACUGUCAGGCUGGAGUGCAGGAGGGGCAGGCGGAAUUCCUGGUGUAGCGGUGAAAUGCGUAGAUAUCAGGAGGAACACCGGUGGCGAAGGCGGCCUGCUGGACUGUAACUGACACUGAGGCUCGAAAGCGUGGGGAGCAAACAGGAUUAGAUACCCCUGUAGUC
rnacentral:rRNA from 1 species